rnacentral:rRNA from 1 species
UAAUGUAUGGGGAUCUGCCCGAUAGAGGGGGAUAACUACUGGAAACGGUGGCUAAUACCGCAUAAUGUCUACGGACCAAAGCAGGGGCUCUUCGGACCUUGCACUAUCGGAUGAACCCAUAUGGGAUUAGCUAGUAGGUGGGGUAAAGGCUCACCUAGGCGACGAUCUCUAGCUGGUCUGAGAGGAUGAUCAGCCACACUGGGACUGAGCACGGCCCAG